GAAGAAAUCAACAUGUCUGGUUCUGUGUCUGUAACAGAAGAGAUUAUGUAGGAACCUGGAGCGGGCCAGCCACGGAGAAAGGUCAAUAAUAGAUCCUGAAUGUUUACCCUGCCUGCUACAAUUUUUUCCCAUGAUGGGAGACUCAAGAUCGUCUGAAACCAUUGUUCUUCUUUUAACUCAGAGGUUGAGUACCACCAUUCCUGAGAGGAAAGAAACAGAACAAAGAAAUCAUUAGUGUUUCUUGACUUUCGUAAUCAAGGUUAGUGCAAUAUCAAACAAGGCAAAAUAUCUUUGAGCUUUCAAAACCAUGUGAACCCAUAGAAAAAAAUGAAUCUUGCUGUCCAAACUAGGAUACUGACACAGCCCUCUUUAAAUAAACACGUAUACUCAUACAUUCAUUCACUUAUUCAACAAAACUGAGUAUAAGGCUCUGUGCUAGGCACUAAGUGUGGUUUUUGCUGUCAAAGAGUUCACAUUCUGAAGGAGAGGAAAGACAUGCAGACAGAUGUAACACAAA